rnacentral:rRNA from 1 species
UCGGGUUGUAAAGCACUUUUGUCCGGAAAGAAAACCUCUUGGUUAAUACCUGAGGGGGAUGACGGUACCGGAAGAAUAAGCACCGGCUAACUACGUGCCAGCAGCGCGGUAAUCGUAGGGUGCGAGCGUUAAUCGGAAUUACUGGGCGUAAAGCGUGCGCAGGCGGUCUGUUAAGACCGAUGUGAAAUCCCCGGGCUUAACCUGGGAACUGCAUUGGUGACUGGCAGGCUUGAGUGUGGCAGAGGGAGGUAGAAUUCCACGUGUAGCAGUGAAAUGCGUAGAGAUGUGGAGGAAUACCGAUGGCGAAGGCAGCCUCCUGGGCCAACACUGACGCUCAUGCACGAAAGCGUGGGGAGCAAACAGGAUUAGAUACCCUGGUAGUCCACGCCCUAAACGAUGUCAACUAGUUGUUGGGGAUUCAUUUCCUUAGUAACGUAGCUAACGCGUGAAGUUGACCGCCUGGGGAGUACGGUCGCAAGAUUAAAACUCAAAGGAAUUGACGGGGACCCGCACAAGCGGUGGAUGAUGUGGAUUAAUUCGAUGCAACGCGAAAAACCUUACCUACCCUUGACAUGGUCGGAAGUCUGCUG